rfam:Propionibacterium acnes KPA171202, complete genome.
UAGGUGUGUGUGGUGUCUCGUCUCGGCUAUGCUCGAUAUGCGAUCGAGCGAUGAGCAAUCCGGUGAGAUUCCGGAGCGGUCCCGCCACUGUGAGACACCCCAUGCGGUGCAGCCAGACGCUCUGCCCGGUUCCUGCCGAACAA